rnacentral:lncRNA from 1 species
GAUAGUCUCCUUGCAGAAAAAUAAUCAUUUUUUACUAAUACGAGUGUAUUUUUAGGUCAUAAAUAGAUAAGACAGUUUUUGUAAUAAUAUAUUGGUUAAUCUCUGUAUUUGCGGUCUGGAUUAAUUGUUUAAAAGUGGUUUCAUCAUGCAGUGCAUUGUGUUGUACUACAAGAAAUUCCAAAACAAAACUUGUAUUUCGGAUAAACAAAAUAGAAUUCUAUUCAAUGACAGUUUAGUUGAAAAACGAAAUGUAUGGAAAUAUCUUCUAAAAAUGGGGAAGCAGUCUAGUCCUUAUAUAAAGGUGUGCAGUUUACGAAUGAAGAUUACUUCAAGGGUAUGUUUAUGUAUUGUAAUAUAAAGUAGCUAUUAAUAAUUUUGUCUCUUUCUCUCACAUAAAAGUCAAAUAUAUAAUAAAUGUUUAUUUCAAAUAUUUAAUAAAUGUGUCAGCAUCA